UGGAGCCGACCUUGAAAUACCACCCUUUAAUGUUUGAUGUUCUAACGUGGACCCGUAAUCCGGGUUGCGGACAGUGUCUGGUGGGUAGUUUGACUGGGGCGGUCUCCUCCUAAAGAGUAACGGAGGAGCACGAAGGUUGGCUAAUCCUGGUCGGACAUCAGGAGGUUAGUGCAAUGGCAUAAGCCAGCUUGACUGCGAGCGUGACGGCGCGAGCAGGUGCGAAAGCAGGUCAUAGUGAUCCGGUGGUUCUGAAUGGAAGGGCCAUCGCUCAACGGAUAAAAGGUACUCCGGGGAUAACAGGCUGAUACCGCCCAAGAGUUCAUAUCGACGGCGGUGUUUGGCACCUCGAUGUCGGCUCAUCACAUCCUGGGGCUGAAGUAGGUCCCAAGGGUAUGGCUGUUCGCCAUUUAAAGUGGUACGCGAGCUGGGUUUAGAACGUCGUGAGACAGUUCGGUCCCUAUCUGCCGUGGGCGCUGGAGAACUGAGGGGGGCUGCUCCUAGUACGAGAGGACCGGAGUGGACGCAUCACUGGUGUUCGGGUUGUCAUGCCAAUGGCACUGCCCGGUAGCUAAAUGCGGAAGAGAUAAGUGCUGAAAGCAUCUAAGCACGAAACUUGCCCCGAGAUGAGUUCUCCCUGAGACUUAGAGUCUCCUGAAGGAACGUUGAAGACGACGACGUUGAUAGGCCGGGUGUGUAAGCGCAGCGAUGCGUUGAGCUAACCGGUACUAAUGAACCGUGAGGCUUAACCUU
rnacentral:rRNA from 9 species